GAGUUUGAUCCUGGCUCAGAGCGAACGCUGGCGGCAGGCCUAACACAUGCAAGUCGAACGAACUCUUCGGAGUUAGUGGCGGACGGGUGAGUAACACGUGGGAACGUGCCUUUUGGUUCGGAAUAACUCAGGGAAACUUGUGCUAAUACCGAAUGUGCCCUUCGGGGAAGGAUUUAUCGCCAUUAGAGCGGCCCGCGUCUGAUUAGCUAGUUGGUGAGGUAAAGGCUCACCAAGGCGACGAUCAGUAGCUGGUCUGAGAGGAUGAUCAGCCACAUUGGGACGUGAGACACGGCCCAAACUCCUACGGGAGGCAGCAGUGGGGAAUCUUGCGCAAUGGGCGAAAGCCUGACGCAGCCAUGCCGCGUGAAUGAUGAAGGUCUUAGGAUUG
rnacentral:rRNA from 1 species